rnacentral:misc_RNA from 1 species
GUGAAUCAUCGAAUCUUUGAACGCAAAUUGCACUCUCUGGCAUUCCGGAGAGUAUGCCUGUUUGAGGGUCAGUAUAAUCAAAAUCGGAGCGAUGCAUUUUGGUUACCGCACCGGAGUUUGGGUUAUCUUAACUCUUUUUUUAAUAAACCUAAAAUUAACAUUCUUUUUUGCUAACUUUUGAGACGUACGUAAUUUUUUUUUAUUCCUCUACCCUGGUGGCAAAAAUUUUAUUUGAUAGUGAAUCAAGAAUA